GAUGAACGCUGGCGGCGUGCCUAAUACAUGCAAGUCGAGCGAACAGACGAGGAGCUUGCUCCUCUGACGUUAGCGGCGGACGGGUGAGUAACACGUGGAUAACCUACCUAUAAGACUGGGAUAACUUCGGGAAACCGGAGCUAAUACCGGAUAACAUGUUGAACCGCAUGGUUCAACAGUGAAAGACGGUCUUGCUGUCACUUAUAGAUGGAUCCGCGCCGCAUUAGCUAGUUGGUAAGGUAACGGCUUACCAAGGCAACGAUGCGUAGCCGACCUGAGAGGGUGAUCGGCCACACUGGAACUGAGACACGGUCCUGACUCCUACGGGAGGCAGCAGUAGGGAAUCUUCCGCAAAGGGCGAAAGCCUGACGGAGCAACGCCGCGUGAGUGAAGAAGGUCUUCGGAUCGUAAAACUCUGUUAUUAGGGAAGAACAAAUGUGUAAGUAACUAUGCACGUCUUGACGGUACCUAAUCAGAAAGCCACGGCUAACUACGUG
rnacentral:rRNA from 1 species